GACGAACGCUGGCGGCGUGCUUAACACAUGCAAGUCGAACGGAAAGGCCCUGCUUGCGGGGUGCUCGCGUGGCGAACGGGUGAGUAACACGUGGGUGAUCUGCCCCUUACUUUGGGAUAAGCCUGGUAAACUGUGUCUAAUACUGGAUAGGACCAUGCUGUAGGUGGGGUGGUGGAAAGAUUAGUUUCGGUGAGGGGGGAGCUCGCGGCCUAUCAGCUUGUUGGUGGGGUAAUGGCCUACCAAGGCGUCGUCGGGUAGCCGGCCGGAGAGGGGGGACGGCGACAUUGGGGCUGAGAUGCUGCGCAGACGCCUACGGGAGGCAGCAGUAGGGAGGAUUGUAGAAUGGUCGCAAGCCUGAUGCUGCGACGCCGCGUGGUGGGUGACGGCGGUCUGGGUGUAAACUCCUGUCUGCCAUGGCGAAGACCUGGUAGUGACGGUAGUGGGAGAAGAAGCACCGGCUAACUACGUG
rnacentral:rRNA from 1 species